CCUACGGGUGGCAGCAGUGGGGAAUAUUGGACAAUGGGCGAAAGCCUGAUCCAGCCAUGCCGCGUGUGUGAAGAAGGCCUUCGGGUUGUAAAGCACUUUCAGUGGGGAAGAAAGCCUUGGGGCUAAUACCCUCGAGGAAGGACAUCACCCACAGAAGAAGCACCGGCUAACUCCGUGCCAGCAGCCGCGGUAAUACGGAGGGUGCGAGCGUUAAUCGGAAUUACUGGGCGUAAAGCGCGCGUAGGCGGUCUGAUAAGCCGGUUGUGAAAGCCCCGGGCUCAACCUGGGAACGGCAUCCGGAACUGUCAGGCUAGAGUGCAGGAGAGGAAGGUAGAAUUCCCGGUGUAGCGGUGAAAUGCGUAGAGAUCGGGAGGAAUACCAGUGGUGAAGGCGGCCUUCUGGACUGACACUGACGCUGAGGUGCGAAAGCGUGGGUAGCAAACAGGAUUAGAUACCCCGGUAGUC
rnacentral:rRNA from 1 species